rnacentral:rRNA from 1 species
AGUGAACGCUGGCGGCGUGCUUAACACAUGCAAGUCGAGCGGAGAUACUUGAAGGAAGUUUUCGGAUGGAAUUUGAGUAUUUUAGCGGCGGACGGGUGAGUAACGCGUGAGUGACCUGCCUUCCACAGGGGGAUAACGUACCGAAAGGUACACUAAUACCGCAUGAGACCACAGCACUGCCUGGUGCAGGGGUCAAAGGAGCAAUCCGGUGGAAGAUGGACUCGCGUCCGAUUAGAUAGUUGGUGGGGUAACGGCCUACCAAGUCAGCGAUCGGUAGCCGACCUGAGAGGGUGAUCGGCCACAUUGGAACUGAGAGACGGUCCAAACUCCUACGGGAGGCAGCAGUGGGGAAUAUUGGGCAAUGGGGGAAACCCUGACCCAGCGACGCCGCGUGAGGGAAGAAGGUUUUCGGAUUGUAAACCUCUGUUCUUGGUGAAGAGGGAAAGACGGUAGCCAAGGAGGAAGCCCCGGCUAACUACGUGCCAGCCGCCGCCGUAA